CUGAAAUAAAUUUGUAUGAAUAAAGGUUUUGUUUUUGGAGAAUCAUAAUAUCUCUUAUCUGUUGUAUUUGAGCAGGACAGGGAUGCACUUUGGUGACACAUGAAACAAAUGCCCAACAUUGUGUGUCUUUACAUCAUUUCCAUCAUGUGCUUGCAGAUCACAGGAAGAAUUUACUGAUUCAAAUGUGUCAUGCAGAGUUACAAGAAAGCAUUUCCUAAAUUUCACUUCAGAAUUUUUUAUACUUUUGUUAUAUUUUUUAUACUGUCAUAAAAUUGUACUGUCAUUGUAAAGUAUAUAUUUACUUUCCUUUACCAAUUUUACCUGUAUUUACUUUCUUUUCAUAUUUGACGACUUUUUGUGAAAAAUGGAGACUUUUGUGGGUGGUUCUAGAGAUUUUCUGAGGGAGGGGUUUGGCAACACUGGCGCGGGAGUCCAAAGAGAGCGAGCGAGAUAGCGGAGCCGAUACCGAAGGGCGACAGAACAUCAUUUACAGACGGAUUUUCUAUCAUUAAAGUUAUGUGUAACCCAUCAUUGCUAGGUCUGAGCUCAGGAGGCAACAUUUGGUGUAGAAAAGUAACCACUACGAAUUUCAAAAAGUACAGAUCCAUUGGAGAACCACACAACUGUAAACACACAACAUGAGCGUAAUUAAUGACAUAAUUUUAACCUCAAAGUACCCCUUAUGAGUGUUUUUUGCCAAACAUUUGACGUGUAAGAUGCAGUUUCAUGAGCUCAAAGUACCUUUGAGUCAUGUGUUCCCGCCUCUUGUUGCCAUAUUUGGUCAUGUUCCUGUCCUUGUUCUGUGUGAUUAUUAGUUUAUUCAGUUCAGGUGUUUUAGUAAUUAUCUGUGAUUGUCAUGUGUAUUUAGUUCCUGCCUGUUUAGUUAGUUUUGGUCUGGUCUACUCGUUACUCCCCGGUGUUCCUGUCUGUGUGUCAGCCUUGCCCUGAUGUCAUCAUUAAAGAAUAUUAUUUUGACUUAUCUCCUCGUCUGCGUGUUCCUUGUUCCUCCCUGCUGUGUGCACCGUUGUGACAGAAUACCAGACCUAAACAGUAAGCGGCGCACAUUCACCUCGUUUUUGAAAGUUUUGUUUUGUUCCUGUUUUGUCUGUCUGUCCCACGGCAUGGAAGUCGCCGCUCGUCAUCCCGCCAUAGCCCACAGCAAAUCGGUGUGGGAGUUCGCGGGAUCGCCGCGAGUGCCACGAAUCUGUUGGCCGUGAGCCCCUCCAGUCUCAGUCUGCUGCUCUCUUCAGCCCGCCGUUCGCGGGAGAAUCACUGCCGCCGUCUGCUGCUAUCUUCAGCCCGCUGUUCCUGGGAAAAGCGACGCCACCGUCCGCGGCUGACUCAAGCCCGCCGGCCGCCGCUGACUCCAGUCCAGAGCAGGGUUCCCGUGAAUCCAGUCCACACGUCACGGCCAGGAGUGCCGUUUUUUUGUGGUGUUGUGCCCACAGGAGCAGUUUUAACCCAGUCAUGUCUUGAGUCCAUGGAGACUCGUCGAGGGCAGGCGGCUCCUCUAGUCAUGGCCACGGAGGCCAUUCCCAGCCGCCUGCCACUCCUGUCGCGGAAGUGGAGGCAGUUGCUGAGGGACCCUGUUAGGGCCCCUGACUCCUUGUCAUGCCCAG